rnacentral:rRNA from 1 species
AUACGUAGGGGGCAAGCGUUAUCCGGAUUUACUGGGUGUAAAGGGAGCGUAGACGGCACGGCAAGCCAGAUGUGAAAGCCCGGGGCUCAACCCCGGGACUGCAUUUGGAACUGCUGAGCUAGAGUGUCGGAGAGGCAAGUGGAAUUCCUAGUGUAGCGGUGAAAUGCGUAGAUAUUAGGAGGAACACCAGUGGCGAAGGCGGCUUGCUGGACGAUGACUGACGUUGAGGCUCGAAAGCGUGGGGAGC